AACGGCCAUAUCACGUUGAAACACCCGUUACUGUGUGAUCAGUUAAGUUAAGCAACAUAGAACAGGGUUAGUACCUAGAUGGGUCACCGCUUGGGAAUACCAGGUUCUGUA